AACGAACGCUGGCGGCAUGCCUAACACAUGCCAGUCGAACGAGACCUUCGAGUCUAGUGGCGCACGGGUGCGUAACGCGUGGGAACCUGCCCUUAGGUUCGGAAUAACUCCCCGAAAGGGGUGCUAAUACCGGAUAAUGUCUUCGGACCAAAGAUUUAUCGCCUUUGGAUGGGCCCGCGUUGGAUUAGCUAGUUGGUAGGGUAAAAGCCUACCAAGGCGACGAUCCAUAGCUGGUCUGAGAGGAAGAUCAGCCACACUGGGACUGAGACACGGCCCAGACUCCUACGGGAGGCAGCAGUGGGGAAUAUUGGACAAUGGGCGAAAGCCUGAUCCAGCAAUGCCGCGUGAGUGAUGAAGGCCUUAGGGUUGUAAAGCUCUUUUACCCGGGAUGAUAAUGACAGUACCGGGAGAAUAAGCUCCGGCUAACUCCGUG
rnacentral:rRNA from 1 species